rnacentral:lncRNA from 1 species
GCGGCCGCGCCGGCUGUGUCAAGUUACAGAGGCGCCGGAAUCGGCCCCAGCGCGGCUCACUGCAGCCACGACCCACCUCUGCCCAUGGGGCCCUGCAUGCGCGCCCCUUCGCCCGGGGACUGACACCCGCUCUCCCCGGAGACACAAAACACCCAGAAGGACCCCGAGCGUCGCACGAGCCCGAGGACUCUGCAGAAGCGGGAAGGGAAAGAGCGGGCAGUGGAGCCAGAUCCCUGAACUUGGAACAUUCUUCGAAAUAACUUUUUUCUUACUUUGGUGUACCCCGAUCGCGUCUGUUGCUCUUGGCUGCCCUCAACUCCGACUGCUCAUUUUUGGUCCUUUUUGGCGAGCAAAGGAAAGGGACGUCCUCUAGCCACGCUAGCUCCCUUUCACCCUGCUUCUUAGUUUGGAUCGCACCUCUUUGAUCUCAUUUUUAUUUAUUCUAUUUAUUUAUUUAUUGGCUCUCAAGACGCGAGGGGAUGGUGGCGGAGCGCGCCCGCAAAGCGGCAGCCUCCAGCAACCGCGGCCCUGGGGAUCUGGGCGCGCCAGGGCCCGGGACAGUGGCGCUGGCUGAGCAGUGCGCUAGGCUGCCGAGCCCCGGGUGCUGCGGACUGCUGGCUCUGGCGUUGUGCUCGCUGGCGCUCAGCCUGCUCGCCCACUUUCGGACGGCCGAGCUGCAGGCCCGGGUGCUGCGCCUGGAAUCGGAGCGCGGGGAACAGCAGAUGGAGAAAGCUAUUUUGGGACGAGUCAACCAACUGCUGGACGAGAAAUGGAAGUUCUACUCGCGCAGGCGCAGGGAGGCCCCGAAGAUGUCUCCAGGAUGUAACUGCCCACCAG